rnacentral:sRNA from 1 species
AUGAUACAACUGAUGAUGGUUCAUCAAAUGAAGUUGAAAAUGAAAUAAUAUUUGUAGCUAUUGUUGCUGCUAUAUUAAUAUGUGGUUGUGGAUGUUUAUCUGGAAAU